UAGAUACCCUGGUAGUCCACGCCGUAAACGAUGAUAACUAGCUGUCCGGGCACUUGGUGUUUGGGUGGCGCAGCUAACGCAUUAAGUUAUCCGCCUGGGGAGUACGGUCGCAAGAUUAAAACUCAAAGGAAUUGACGGGGGCCUGCACAAGCGGUGGAGCAUGUGGUUUAAUUCGAAGCAACGCGCAGAACCUUACCAGCCUUUGACAUCCCGCGCUACACAGAGAGAUUUGUGGUUCCCUUCGGGACGC
rnacentral:rRNA from 1 species